rnacentral:lncRNA from 1 species
CUUUCACUGAAAUAUGUUUAAUACUCUAAUUAUAUAAAUGACUAUACUGUAGUUAGUAUUAAUUAUUAUGAAACAACUUAUAUAACAGUUUUCUUAGAAUGAACCUGAUGAUGAAACAGUUCUAAUAUGGAAAUGUUAUAAAAACUUUGAUUUAUAUUGACCAACAUGCUGUUGUUUAUCAUCUGGAGUAUCAAAGUUCAUUUCCAGGUCUUAUAUUUGUACGUGCAUUUAGAGAGAUUUGUUCAAUCCCAUCCUUUAAGAUGGCCACAUGACUUACCAUCUUGUAGGAUCCAAGUUCAGUUCCAAGCUCAUAUAUCUCCAGAUAUUCAGGAAGAUUCCAGACUCAAUGUGAACCCACUCUUUGAUCUUCUGAUUGAUAUGGAGUCUACCAAAGAUAUGGAUGACCUAUGGUGGGCUUUCCAAUCAAUGGUUAUUAAAUGAUAGAAUAUUCUCUUAUUCUGUUAUUAUGGCUCUUAUCAGUUUCUUCAUGGAAC